AGUUAAGCGACUAAGCGUACAGGGCGGAUGCCUUGGCAAUCAGAGGCGAAGAAGGACGUGCUAAUCUGCGAAAAGCUCGGAUGAGCCGAUAAGAGGCGUUUAAUCCGAGAUGUCCGAAUGGGGAAACCCGAUGGAUGAAGAAUCCAUCAUUUCAUUAUGAAUCCAUAGUAAUGAAAGGCGAACCGGGAGAACUGAAACAUCUAAGUACCCCGAGGAAAAGAAAUCAACCGAGAUUCCGUGAGUAGCGGCGAGCGAAAGCGGAGCAGCCGGUCAGUGAUAGCGGCAUAGACAGAGGAAUUGGCUGGGAAGCCAAGCGACAGAGGGUGACAGCCCCGUACUCGAAGUCUGAGCGGUGGUACUGAGCUGACGAGAAGUAGGGCGGGACACGAGGAAUCCUGUCUGAAGAAGGGGGGCCCAUCCUCCAAGGCUAAAUACUCCUGAUUGACCGAUAGUGAACCAGUACCGUGAGGGAAAGGCGAAAAGAACCCCGGCGAGGGGAGUGAAAGAGAACCUGAAACCCUGUACGUACAAGCAGUGGGAGCCCCAUCACUUAAUCCAAUUGGAAAGUGAUGGAAAUUAACCGCACGUUAAUGAUGGUAAGACGAGCGAAGCGAGUCAAACCUUCAAAAGAAGCAGUGGGAUUAAGUGAUGGGGUGACUGCGUACCUUUUGUAUAAUGGGUCAGCGACUUAUAUUUUGUAGCGAGGUUAACCGCAUAGGGGAGCCGAAGGGAAACCGAGUCUUAACUGGGCGUGGAGUUGCAAGGUAUAGACCCGAAACCCGGUGAUCUAGCCAUGGGCAGGUUGAAGGUUGGGUAACACUAACUGGAGGACCGAACCGACUAAUGUUGAAAAAUUAGCGGAUGACCUGUGGCUGGGGGUGAAAGGCCAAUCAAACCGGGAGAUAGCUGGUUCUCCCCGAAAUCUAUUUAGGUAGAGCCUUGAGCGGACACCUUCGGGGGUAGAGCACUGUUUCGGCUAGGGGUCCAUCCCGGAUUACCAACCCGAUGCAAACUGCGAAUACCGAAGAGUGAUACUCAGGAGACACACGGCGGGUGCUAACGUCCGUCGUGGAGAGGGAAACAACCCAGACCGCCAGCUAAGGUCCCGAAGUACUAGUUAAGUGGGAAACGAAGUGGGAAGGCUUAGACAGCUAGGAUGUUGGCUUAGAAGCAGCCAUCAUUUAAAGAAAGCGUAAUAGCUCACUAGUCGAGUCGGCCUGCGCGGAAGAUGUAACGGGGCUAAAACUAGUCACCGAAGCUGCGGCAUCAAUGGAGACAUUGUUGGGUAGGGGAGCGUUGUGUAAGCGGAAGAAGGUGAGUCGAGAGGCUUGCUGGACGUAUCACAAGUGCGAAUGCUGACAUAAGUAACGAUAAAACGGGUGAAAAACCCGUUCGCCGGAAGACCAAGGGUUCCUGUCCAACGUUAAUCGGGGCAGGGUGAGUCGGCCCCUAAGGCGAGGCUGAAAAGCGUAGUCGAUGGGAAACGGGUUAAUAUUCCCGUACUUGGAUAAACUGCGAUGCGGGGACGGAGAAGGUUAGGUUAUCAGACGGUUGGAUGUCUGUUUAAGCCGGUAGGUGGAGAGUUUAGGCAAAUCCGGACUCUUUAAUAACACCGAGAAGUGAUGACGAGGCUCUAAGGAGCCGAAGUAACCGAUACCAUGCUUCCAGGAAAAGCCGCUAAGCUUCAGGUUUAUCUGAACCGUACUAUAAACCGACACAGGUGGUCAGGUAGAGAAUACUCAGGCGCUUGAGAGAACUCGGGUGAAGGAACUAGGCAAAAUAGCACCGUAACUUCGGGAGAAGGUGCGCCGGGAUAAAUUGUAGAGAUAGACUCUUGAAGGUUGAACCGGUCGAAGUGACCCGCUGGCUGCAACUGUUUAUUAAAAACACAGCACUCUGCAAACACGAAAGUGGAAGUAUAGGGUGUGAUGCCUGCCCGGUGCCGGAAGGUUAAUUGAUGGUGUAAUCGCAAGAGAAGCACCUGAUCGAAGCCCCGGUAAACGGCGGCCGUAACUAUAACGGUCCUAAGGUAGCGAAAUUCCUUGUCGGGUAAGUUCCGACCUGCACGAAUGGCAUAAUGAUGGCCAGGCUGUCUCCACCCGAGACUCAGUGAAAUUGAAAUCGCCGUGAAGAUGCGGUGUACCCGCGGCUAGACGGAAAGACCCCGUGAACCUUUACUAUAGCUUGACACUGAACCUUGAAUUUUGAUGUGUAGGAUAGGUGGGAGGCAUUGAAGCGGUCACGCCAGUGACAGUGGAGCCAUUCUUGAAAUACCACCCUUUAACGUUUGAUGUUCUAACGAGGAGUGAAAACACGCUCUCGGACAGUGUCUGGUGGGUAGUUUGACUGGGGCGGUCUCCUCCCAAAGAGUAACGGAGGAGCACGAAGGUUUGCUAAUGACGGUCGGACAUCGUCAGGUUAGCGCAAUGGUAAAAGCAAGCUUAACUGCGAGACGGACAAGUCGAGCAGGUGCGAAAGCAGGUCAUAGUGAUCCGGUGGUUCUGAAUGGAAGGGCCAUCGCUCAACGGAUAAAAGGUACUCCGGGGAUAACAGGCUGAUACCGCCCAAGAGUUCAUAUCGACGGCGGUGUUUGGCACCUCGAUGUCGGCUCAUCACAUCCUGGGGCUGAAGUAGGUCCCAAGGGUAUGGCUGUUCGCCAUUUAAAGUGGUACGCGAGCUGGGUUUAGAACGUCGUGAGACAGUUCGGUCCCUAUCUGCCGUGGGCGCAGGAGAAUUGAAAGGGGCUGCUCCUAGUACGAGAGGACCGGAGUGGACGCAUCCCUGGUGUUCCGGUUGUGUCGCCAGACGCAUUGCCGGGUAGCUACAUGCGGGAGAGAUAAGUGCUGAAAGCAUCUAAGCACGAAACUUGCCUUAAGAUGAGUUCUCCCAGACUUUAGGUCUGUAAGGGUUGUUGUAGACGACGACGUAGAUAGGUGGGAUGUGUAAGCGUUGCGAGACGUUGAGCUAACCCAUACUAAUUGCCCGAGAGGCUUAACUAU
rfam:Actinobacillus succinogenes 130Z, complete genome.